UUUGAGCCCAGGAAGUGGAGGUUGCAGUGAAUUGAGAUGGCGCCACUGCACUCCAGGCUGGGCAAUAGGGCAAGACUCUGUCUUAAAAAACAAACAGGCUCCAGAGUCUAGUCAGUAGGGAGUAAUGAGUUGUGGGUCAGAGAUGACCUAUUGACCACCGGUGCGUGAUUUCUGUGUUAGAGAAAGCCAUAUCCAGUUGAAGGAAGCAACACACUUGACCUAGCCAGGGAGAAAUCCAACUCUAAGGACAAAAUAGCUUCAGGAA
rnacentral:lncRNA from 10 species